rnacentral:rRNA from 1 species
GACGAACGCUGGCGGCGUGCUUAACACAUGCAAGUCGAACGGAAAGGCCCUGCUUUUGUGGGGUGCUCGAGUGGCGAACGGGUGAGUAACACGUGAGUAACCUGCCCUUGACUUUGGGAUAACUUCAGGAAACUGGGGCUAAUACCGGAUAGGAGCUCCUGCUGCAUGGUGGGGGUUGGAAAGUUUCGGCGGUUGGGGAUGGACUCGCGGCUUAUCAGCUUGUUGGUGGGGUAGUGGCUUACCAAGGGUUUGACGGGUAGCCGGCCUGAGAGGGUGACCGGCCACAUUGGGACUGAGAUACGGCCCAGACUCCUACGGGAGGCAGCAGUGGGGAAUAUUGCACAAUGGGCGGAAGCCUGAUGCGGCAACGCCGCGUGCGGGAUGACGGCCUUCGGGUUGUGAACCGCUUUCGCCUGUGACGAAGCGUGAGUGACGGUAAUGGGUAAAGAAGCACCGGCUAACUACGUG